UUUUAGACAGUAAUAAUGCUUCCUCCAACUAGUUUCUUUCCUCCUUUUGUUUUCCUGCAAUAGUAUCCCCCCCUUCUCUCUCUAUAUCUCUUUACUCUCCCCUUUCUUCAUGCUCCUGGUUUAAUCCUCAAUAUUUUGGUUUUUGACGGUACAAGAUUCAUCAGGUUGUUCUGAUUAGAAGCCAUCUUUCUUCAAGAUGAGUCAACGUCCUUCCUAUUUUCGCCGGCAGGAAACUGAUUUUUCUACAAAUUUUUGUGUAUGAUUUCAUCUCCUUCAAAGGGUACAUUUCAUCGGAAAUGACUAG